rnacentral:rRNA from 1 species
ACUGGUAGCAUUGGAUCCCUUGGCACGCCAUUCGAUGAAGAACGUUGCAAACUGCGAUAAGUGAUGUGAAAUGCGAGUCCAAAACUUAUACGUGAAUCAUCGAAUCUUUGAACGCAUUGCAUCGAGCUUUGCCCAAGCACGAUAUGCCCCAUUGAGCGUCCUUAAGUCUUUAGGAAUGUUUAUUCAUUACUAAGUUCGGGCUUCAUGGCUUAACCGUCACGUUGCCUUAGAUGCAUUACGCGUCGCACUAAUGUUGCGCUCCUUGUUGUACACUUCAAGGCGCUUCCUAAUGCGUUAUCGCACUUACGCUCAGAGCCUUUGGCGACGAGCAGAACCGUGUUCCGUCCUCGGACAGUUCACCCUUCCUUGACUUAACCUCACGGGGGCAAGACGACCCGCUAGACUUAAGCAUAUUAAUCAGCGGAGGAAAAGAAACUAACAAGGAUUCCCCUAGUAACUGCGAGUGAAGAGGGAAGAGCUCAAUGUGUGAAUCUGAUCGGGUGUAACGCCUGGUUCGAAUUGUGCACUAUUGACGCUGGAUCAGCGUUCGGAAACUACCGUCGGAUGUCCGGUGUAAUCCGGUGCCAUAGCGGGUAACAGCCCUGUACACGACACUCAGUAUCCACGCAUAUGACCAGUGUUCAUCGAGUCGCGUAGUUUUGUAUUGCUGCGCUAAUUGGGAGGUAGAGCCCUUCUAAAGCUAAAUAUUAUGGCGUGACCGAUAGCAAACAAGUACCGUGAGGGAAAGGUGAAAAGCAACCAUGCAGAAUGGGUUGAAACAGAAGUGAAAGUGCUACCGGGAUAAGGACUAUUGAUUACAAGUGUGGAUUGCGUGUGCUUCAGUGCUACGCUGACCGCCGUCGUGCAUCGAUUGGGGACUGGGGAGAACAGGGCAGUUGGGGAUUCGGCUCGGUCUCGAGUGUUGUAACCCUUCGGCCAGUGGAACCCCCCUCGAUCGGAUUCAAGGUGCAUUGGUUGUGAUUAUUAGUCGCCCGUCUUGAAACACGGACCAAGGAGUGUACCUUGCAUGCGAGUCUAAGGGACUGUAAUCCUCUAGGCGUAGCGAAAGCGACGUGAGCGAAUCGUGUAACAGCGAGGAUGCUCCACCUGCCUUGUGCAAGGUUGAGCAUGUAGGGUGCGACCCGAAAGAUGGUGAACUAUGCCCGGGUAAGGUGAAGCCAGUGGAAACGCUGGUGGAAGCCUGUAGCGGUUCUGACGUGCAGAUCGAUCGUGUAACCUGGGUAUAGGGGCGAAAGACCUAACGAACCGUCUAAUGGCUGGUUCCCCCCGAAGUUUCCCUCAGGAUAGCUGUGUCUAAGUAGUGCCAGUUGCACGCGGUAGAGCGAAUGAUUAGGUGUCUCGGGGACUUAUUGACCUCGGCUCAUUCUCAAACUGCGAAUAGCGUGCGUCCGCGUCGUGUCUUAUCAGCACGCCGGGUUAAUGGUCAGACGCAAGUGGGCUGGUUUUGGUAAGCAGAACUGGCGAUGUGGGAUCAACCAAACGUCAUUUUAAGGUGCCCAACUGCAUGCUAACGGAUUACAAAAAAGGUGUUGGGUGGUGAUGACAGCAGGACGGUGGCCAUGGAAGUCGGCAUCCGCUAAGAAGUGUGUAACAACUUACCUGCCGAAUCGCUCAGCCCUGAAAAUGGAUGGCGCUCAAGCAUGCGACCGAUAAAUGACCGAUGAGGUCGCAAUCAGGACCCAUCGUGUAGGGGGGCGUGGAGGUCACGCGGCGAAGGCUGGCGCGUGAGCGCGGCUGGAGCGGCCUCUAGUGCCGAUCUUGGUGGAAGUAGCGAAUAUUCCUGUGUGAUCCUCGAAGACUGAAGUGGAGAAAGGUUCCUGGCUUACCGCAUUGGAGCUGGGGUGAGUCGAUCCUAAGCGGGAGGAGAACUCCUCGAAUACAAGGCGUCUGCGCGCGUCCUUGACCGCCGAAAGGGAAAGCCGCUAACAUUCGGCUACAGCAUUGGGGUGUCCUAGGCGGCAACGCGAAAUGACCCAAGGGAAGGUGCACCGGGACUGGGAGCAAGUUAUCUUGUUGCUGAAAUCGUGGCCAGGCCUUGGAAAUGGGUCGUCCAGAGAGAGGGCUCGGUCCACGACGAGCGGCCCUUCAUGCCGUCCCAUGAUUCCUGUGCAUUCCUUGAAAACCUUGGUGACCACUUAACGCCCGAGGCUAUUGCUGUCGUACUAUAAUCCGCAACAGGUCUCCUAGGUGUGCAGCCUCUAGUCUAAUGGAAGAAUGUGGGUAAGGGAAGUCGGCAAGCCAGCUCCGUAACUUUGGGAAAAGGGGUGGCUCUGAGGGCUGGGUGUAUUCGGCCUGGGAACGCCUGGUGAUGUUGGUCGCGGAGGGGUUUCGGCUCCUUGCUGUGCCACUCGCCGCUAUUACCGGUAUCCUUAUGCACUGCGAACAGCCAGCUCAGAACUGGCACGGACAAGGGGAAUCUGACUGUCUAAUUAAAACAUAGCAUUGCGAUGGUCUCUACGGACGUUGACGCAAUGUGAUUUCUGCCCAGUGCUCUGAAUGUCAAAGUGAAGAAAUUCGACCAAGCGCGGGUUAACGGCGGGAGUAACUAUGACUCUCUUAAGGUAGCCAAAUGCCUCGUCAUCUAAUUAGUGACGCGCAUGAAUGGAUUAACGAGAUUCCCACUGUCCCUA